rnacentral:rRNA from 1 species
GACGAACGCUGGCGGCGUGCCUAAUACAUGCAAGUCGAACGCAGUGGGGACGGGUGAGUAACACGUGGGUAACCUCCCAUCAGAGGGGAUAACACUUGGAAACAGGUGCUAAACCGAUACUGAUGGAUGGCCCCGCGGUGCAUUAGCUAGUUGGUGAGGUAACGGCUCACCAAGGCCACGAUGCAUAGCCGAGCGGAGAGGGUGAUCGGCCACACUGGGACUGAGACACGGCCCAGACUCCUACGGGAGGCAGCAGUGGGGAAUUGUCGGCAAUGGACGAAAGUCUGACCGAGCAACGCCGCGUGAGUGAAGAAGGUUUUCGGAUCGUAAAACACUGUCGGUAGAGAAGCGGUAUCUAACCAGGAAGCCACGGCUAACUACGUGCCAGCAGCCGCGGUAAUUC